rnacentral:lncRNA from 1 species
CCUGCAACGGUGCCGGCUUUCCUUGGAGUUUGGUGACGAUUGAUAUGGAUGUGGCUUUGUGGUUGGCUGCCUGCCCAGCUCCCAGGGGCGAGGGGCUCCUCCUGCCCCAGCCCUGCCUGUCAGUGCCCCCGCCUGUGGCCCCACCGACCGUCCCAUCCACCCCAUCUGUCCACAUGGAGUUCACACGUGUCUGAGCCCUUCUUGUUCUUCAGGAACCUAAAGUGGAAGUUCGGAUAAUUAAUUCAAGACUCCAUGAAGUGUACAGGCGAAGAUCAUCUCUUUCCGGCCCUGCUGCGGACACUAGUGCAGUGAGCAGAUGCCUUCUCAGUUCCGCAGCCGCCCUCUGAGCCGUCUGAUUCCUCCACGUGGACCUGGGUUUCCACACAAGCAACGAGGAAGGCAGAGCCACACACACUGCGGAUA